AUUGAACGCUGGCGGCAGGCCUAACACAUGCAAGUCGAGCGGAUGAAGGGAGCUUGCUCCUGGCUUCAGCGGCGGACGGGUGAGUAAUGCCUAGGAAUCUGCCUGGUAGUGGGGGAUAACGUCCGGAAACGGGCGCUAAUACCGCAUACGUCCUGAUGUAGAAAGGGGGGGAUCUUCGGACCUCACGCUAUCAGAUGAGCCUAGGUCGGAUUAGCUAGUUGGUGAGGUAAAGGCCUACCAAGGCGACGAUCCGUAACUGGUCUGAGAGGAUGAUCAGUCACACUGGAACUGAGACACGGUCCAGACUCCUACGGGAGGCAGCAGUGGGGAAUAUUGGACAAUGGGCGAAAGCCUGAUCCAGCCAUGCCGCGUGUGUGAAGAAGGUCUUCGGAUUGUAAAGCACUUUAAGUUGGGAGGAAGGGCAGUAAGUUAAUACCUUGCUGUUUUGACGUUACCAACAGAAUAAGCACCGGCUAACUUCGUG
rnacentral:rRNA from 1 species